rnacentral:rRNA from 1 species
AUCCCCCUCUUUCUUCAGGCCUAACACAUGCAAGUCGAGCGGAUGAAGGGAGCUUGCUCCUGGAUUCAGCGGCGGACGGGUGAGUAAUGCCUAGGAAUCUGCCUGGUAGUGGGGGAUAACGUCCGGAAACGGGCGCUAAUACCGCAUACGUCCUGAGGGAGAAAGUGGGGGAUCUUCGGACCUCACGCUAUCAGAUGAGCCUAGGUCGGAUUAGCUAGUUGGUGGGGUAAAGGCCUACCAAGGCGACGAUCCGUAACUGGUCUGAGAGGAUGAUCAGUCACACUGGAACUGAGACACGGUCCAGACUCCUACGGGAGGCAGCAGUGGGGAAUAUUGGACAAUGGGCGAAAGCCUGAUCCAGCCAUGCCGCGUGUGUGAAGAAGGUCUUCGGAUUGUAAAGCACUUUAAGUUGGGAGGAAGGGCAGUAAGUUAAUACCUUGCUGUUUUGACGUUACCAACAGAAUAAGCACCGGCUAACUUCGUG